UGCGGUCUGCGCCUCUCGACAGGAACCACAAUCCCUGGGGCCAUACUCGAUCCAAAGGGAGCUGUCCCUGUCUGGGCUCGUGGGCCUGGACACACGGUGCCCACCUACGUUUGUAGGCGCCCAGGAUCGUAAACAUCCAUCGGUCGUCGUGGAUCGCAC
rnacentral:other from 17 species